AUGCAAGUCGAGCGAACAGAUAAGGAGCUUGCUCCUUUGACGUUAGCGGCGGACGGGUGAGUAACACGUGGAUAACCUACCUAUAAGACUGGGAUAACUUCGGGAAACCGGAGCUAAUACCGGAUAAGAUUUUGAACCGCAUGGUUCAAUAGUGAAAGACGGCCUUGCUGUCACUUAUAGAUGGAUCCGCGCCGUAUUAGCUAGUUGGUAAGGUAACGGCUUACCAAGGCAACGAUACGUAGCCGACCUGAGAGGGUGAUCGGCCACACUGGAACUGAGACACGGUCCAGACUCCUACGGGAGGCAGCAGUAGGGAAUCUUCCGCAAUGGGCGAAAGCCUGACGGAGCAACGCCGCGUGAGUGAUGAAGGUCUUCGGAUCGUAAAACUCUGUUAUCAGGGAAGAACAAACGUGUAAGUAACUGUGCACGUCUUGACGGUACCUGAUCAGAAAGCCACGGCUAACUACGUGCCAGCAGCCGCGGUAAUACGUAGGUGGCAAGCGUUAUCCGGAAUUAUUGGGCGUAAAGCGCGCGUAGGCGGUUUUUUAAGUCUGAUGUGAAAGCCCACGGCUCAACCGUGGAGGGUCAUUGGAAACUGGAAAA
rnacentral:rRNA from 1 species